GUGAUUUUCACCCUCCCACACACAUAUCUGGUAUCCAGACCGGAGUUUAAACUAGAUUGGAUACUUCGGGGGCCUCAGUAGGUCAAAGUUGUUCCCAGCUUCACCUGGAGAUUGAUCUUCUGAAAUCUAUUUGGGUUGUCUGUUCCCGCCGAGAAGCCUGGUGGUUCUCUCCGAGUACCUUGGCUUCCUCCACCAUAAUAACAGACUUCCCGG
rnacentral:lncRNA from 1 species